AUUAGAAGAGACAGAAUGUUAAAGACACAGCCUCCUUCGAAGGCAUCUGCAUAAUGCGUCCCGUUUGCAGAUGAGGAAGUUGAGGCCCAAAGAGGUGAUGGGAAAGGUCCAAAGCUGCAUUUCUGGAUUCUGGCAGCUGGGACCAGAUCCUGCUCUUAUUGGUAUGGUUUAAGCACUUCUUCAAUGAGCACUUAUCAAACUCCUGGAUACUGUGUACUCAGUGUCUGAGUGGCAGUGAAAGAUAACCACAAAUACGUCAGAAGCAGUUGUAGCCACUGCUGCCCUGGACUCGGGCAUAGAAUCGGACCUGGGUUUGAUUUGAUGAUUUGCAGGACCACACUACUGGUUGGAUAGCCUUAGUGAAGCAGUUAACGGCUCCAUGCCCUAGUUUUCUGGUCUGCAAAACCGAGAUAAAAAUAGGCGAGGGUGGUGGGAUUUAAAUGAGAUAAGGUGCACAUUGCUAAGCACAGUGGCUGCACAUGGAAGGCACUCAAAUAAAUAUUCGUGCAAUGUUUUGAGAAGUAGAAAGUGCCAGGCACGUAGGAGUUCAGGAGACAGUCACGGUACUCCUUUACAGACAGAAGUCAUGCGGAACAAGAGGGACGGUGCUUUCCCGUGUGCCGUGCUUGGGGAUACUCACACAGACAGUUACAGCAUGUGGCAUGACAGGGAAAGGAGGAAAUGACUUCUGUUAAUCAUUCCUUCAGCUUCUCCCGCCCUUCCUGUGCACCCUGUCUGUUUCCCUUUCCAAUUCUCACUGUGACUCAAGGAACAACGUGUGAAAUGAAAGACCUCAGGUGCUAUAUUGGCUCUUGACAGGUCUUCAGUAGAAAGCACCUCCUGCCUGUUCUGUUCAGUCCUGGUACAGGUGGUCCUGGACCACACUUUGAAAAAUGCUGGGGCAGAAACAAGCCAGCAAGCAUAUGGGAUUCAUCUGCUGUGAGUGGUAAUUUAUCUAGUUUCUAAAAAUAGUGUUAGGAGCUGGACUGUGCCCCCCUCCCUGCUCCCAUGCAUAUGUUGACGCCCUAACCCAAAGUACCGAAGUACCUCAGAAUGUGACUGUAUUUGGAAAUAGGGCCUUUAAAGAAGUAAUUAAGUUAAAACGAGGUCACAGGGUGGGUUCUAAUGUAGUAUAACUGGUGUCCUUAUACGAAGAAAUUAGGACACAGACCCACACAGAGGGGGGACCAUGUGAAAACAGAGGGAGAAGACAGCUGCCUGCAAGCCACAGAGAGAGCCCUUCGAAGAAACCAACCCUGUGGACAAUUUGAUCUCAGGAUUCCAGCCUCCAGAACUGUGAGAAAAUAGAUUUCCGUUGUUUAAGUCACCCAGUCUGUGGUAUUUCAUUA